rnacentral:misc_RNA from 1 species
UUUACCACCAGAACUGGAUAAAAUCCAUAAUGUAUUCCAUGUUUCUAUGCUGAGAAGAUAUCGCUCAGACCCUUCACAUGUCAUUUCCAUGGAAGAGAUUGAAAUCCAACCGGACUUGACAUAUACAGAAGAACCUAUACAAAUCCUAGCUCGGGAAGUGAAGGAACUGAGAAAUAAACAAAUUCCACUGGUGAAAGUGCUUUGG